AGGAUUCUCGCUAUUAAUGUUCUAGGAACAAGUCACACAAAGCAGAAGUCUUUAUAAAGGAUACUAUGGCUCAACUAUACAAUUGCAUUAGCCUCCUAUUUUCCAUGGCAUCUUCAGUCCUAUUCCAGGCUGCUUCUAAACUGCCACCAAUCAAGAUUCCUAAGCAAGAAAGCUAUUCCUGUCAUUCACUCCCAAUCUGAAAGCUUCUGCUGGUUGGCUUCUGCCAACAGGAUGAAAUCAAACUUUGUAGAUUGUGACCCCCUCUAGAGCCUUUCCAAAGUGUGGGCCACAGACCAGCAACUAGGCAUCCCCAGAAGCUUGUGCAAAUGCAGAAACAUAGGCCCCAUCCAGAUUCGAAUGGACAUGAAUCACCUGGGAAAUCUGUUAAAACCGCAUGUUUCUAGGUCUCAGAUUCCGAGCCUGCGUUUACUUAGCACGAACCUCUCCUGUCACUUUUGCGGGUGGUCCCUGUACCACACUUAGAAACACUGCUCUCGAGCCCAUAACAGGAAUAGUGCCUUAUUUGUCUUUGGCGAGCUAAUCUCCUGCUAUUAAAUACGCAACCAAUAAAGGUCAACUUAAGUUUUGUAAAAGGGCGCAGAGCACUGUCAAGGGAGCCCAAGGAGAGGAUGGGACCAGAACUCACAUAAUGAUGCCUUGACCUCUGAUGCAAUCAAAAAGGGCUGCAACCGAGUAAAGACUUCAGACUCGGAGAGAGUGUGGACAUCUGAGCAGCGGCUUAGUGGCAAGGGCAAAUGAAGAGUCAAGAAUCUGCUCUGAAUUCCGCUCCCCUAGGCCCGGCCCUUACCAUGCA